rnacentral:lncRNA from 1 species
GGCAUAGUAUGCUGGGGUCGAUGUGCCUCGAAAUACGUCCCUAUAGGAGGUGUAGAUGUAGGGUGUUACGGUGGUGUGGUGCUUGUGAAUAAAAUAUAGGGUUAGUGAAAUAAACAAGAUUAUAUGAAAGGAACUGACCGGGAUAUAGUGUAGAAAUUGAUUGCAUUUGUCGGGUUAAAGCCAGGGACGAAAUCAUCGCUGCACCUCCUCUGGACCUAUGAUGCUAAAGCGAGCGUCGUGGCCUCUUCGGACGAAGUUGCCUACUCACCUCCAC